rnacentral:rRNA from 1 species
AUGUGUGUACCAAAAAAUCAAGGAGGCAUGGGCUUUUGAGAUAUACAUUGUUACUUGGCUUUGUUAGCCAAACAAGCAUGGCGUCUUAUUGAUAAACCGGAGUCUUUAUGUGCCACUAUCUUGAGAACUAAGUAUUUCCCUGAUGGCGACUUGAUGAGUGCAAGUUUAAAGAAAGGUUCGUCCUUUACUUGGCAAAGCAUUUUGGCGGGAGUUAACUCACUGAAAAAUGGUUAUAUCUGGCGAGUUGGAAAUGGUCAAAAAAUUGAUAUUUGGAGAGAUACAUGGAUUCCCCAUGAUACAGAUAGGAAAAUGAUCACCCCUAGAAGAGGGCAACUUUUGUCAAAGGUAGCUGAUCUCAUUGAUCCAGUUAUGAAUUGUUGGGACGAAGAUUUGAUGAGACAAACUUUGUGGCUGAUUGAUGCUCAAAGAGUCCUCGCCAUUCCCCUUCCUAUGCAUACCAUGGAAGACUUCGUUGCGUGGAGUUUUACGAAAAAUGGUUUGUUCACUGUUCGCUCUGCCUAUUUGGAGGAAUGGAACCAGCAACAUGGAAAGAAGUUGCAGUAUACAAACGGCAUGGGUAGAAUCAAUGUCAACCCUAUUUGGGGGAAGAUUUGGAAAUUGUCUUGUCCGGCAAAGGUAAAAAUCUUUAUUUGGCGUGCGUUACAUGGUACACUCCCAUGUCGCGUUACACUGGCCAAUAGACACAUGAAGGUCUCGCCUAUAUGCCCCUCAUGCACAAAUAAACAGGAAGACACGAAACACGUAUUGUUCCUCUGUCAGAAGGCAAAAGAGGUUUAG